UACGAGGUCGAGCGUUAACUACGGAUUACUGGGCGGGUAAAGCGGUGCGCAGGCGGUUUGUUAAGCGAGAUGUGAAAGCCCCCGGGCUCAACCUGGGAAUUGCAUUUCGAACUGGCGAACUAGAGUCUUGUAGAGGGGGUAGAAUUCCAGGUGUAGCGGUGAAAUGCGUAGAGAUCUGGAGGAAUACCGGUGGCGAAGGCGGCCCCCUGGACAAAGACUGACGCUCAGGCACGAAAGCGUGGGGAGCAAACAGGAUUAGAUACCCCGGUAGU
rnacentral:rRNA from 1 species